CUAACGUAGAAUUUUAGAUUUUUGUGUUUUUCCUAUCACUAUUCCUAUACUAUUACCAAUGCACCUUAUUUGUCAAGAUGAUUAAAAGGGAAUUCCCUAGGAUAACUAGUGUCUCAAGUGAUCUUGAGGUUCAUAAAUUUUUGGUUUCCACAAGAUAGGUGCCAACUAUUUUUAUUUUUUUUUACACCCAUGCAAUAUUCCAGUCAUCUAUUAACAAGGGCUAAAAUUUCUUGUAAAGAAUAAAAUAAAGAACUAAAUUACAUGAAAAUAGGACAUUAUUAUUCUAUUUACAAGUAAGGGCCAAAAAUUGUUGAGGGUUAUCAAGCACAUUGUUCCUAAAAUAAUAGCAUCCAUGAAGAUUGAACUGAUACAAAAUGCCUUUCAGAUGAUAUGAUCCAAACUCAAAUUGAACACUACUCUUGUUUUGCAACAUUACUGCACUCGAAAGGCAACUUCAACUCACUUAUAGACCUUCUUAUUGGUGAUUGCACUAAAUCGACACCACUUUGGAAGAGAUGUGUUCCACAUAGAAAAUCUUUCAUUAUAUGCACCUACUCGCAAGAUACCAAAGGUAAACAGGUGAAUACUUGCCCAGGAAUACAAAGGCCAUACUUAGUGGAGGUUCCAUCAAUAAGGAGAAUCAUUUCAAGUAUGGAAUUCUCAUUUCUUCUCAUUUUCUUAUGGCUUCAUUUUUAUUCAAUAUCUAUAUGAAAUUAUUUAUGUUCA